UGAUCCUGGCUCAGAACGUACGCUGGCGGCACGCCUAACACAUGCAAGUCGAACGAAGUAGCAAUACUUAGUGGCAGACGGGUGAGUAACAUGUAGGUAUCUGCCCUUUGGCCUGGAAUAACACGAGGAAACUUGUGCUAAUACCGGAUAAGUCUUUACGGAGAAAGCUUUAUGCACCAUUGGAUGAGCCUGCACUUGAUUAGUUUGUUGGUGGGGUAAUGGCCUACCAAGACUGUGAUCAAUAGCUGAUUUGAGAGGAUGAUCAGCCACAUUGGGACUGAGACACGGCCCAAACUCCUACGGGAGGCAGCAGUGGGGAAUCUUGCACAAUGGAGGAAACUCUGAUGCAGCGAUGCCGCGUGAGUGAAGAAGGCCUUUGGGUUGUAAAGCUCUUUCGUCGGAGAAGAAAAUGACUGUACCCGAAUAAGAAGGUCCGGCUAACUUCGUGCCAGCAGCCGCGGUAAUACGAAGGGACCUAGCGUAGUUCGGAAUUACUGGGCUUAAAGAGUUCGUAGGUGGUUGAAAAAGUUAGUGGUGAAAUCCCAGAGCUUAACUCUGGAACUGCCAUUAAAACUUUUCAGCUAGAGUAUGAUAGAGGAAAGCAGAAUUUCUAGUGUAGAGGUGAAAUUCGUAGAUAUUAGAAAGAAUACCAAUUGCGAAGGCAGCUUUCUGGAUCAUUACUGACACUGAGGAACGAAAGCAUGGGUAGCGAAGAGGAUUAGAUACCCUCGUAGU
rnacentral:rRNA from 1 species